rnacentral:rRNA from 1 species
AGGACGAACGCUGGCGGCGUGCCUAACACAUGCAAGUCGAACGAGGUCCAGUCUGUAGCAAUACAGAUGAAGACCGAGUGGCGAACGGGUGAGUAGCACGUGAGCAACCUGCCCCGAAGACCGGGACAACACCGGGAAACCGGUGCUAAUACCGGAUACCCCCAUCGAGUCGCAUGGCUUGAUGAGGAAAUGGAUUCCGCUUCGGGAGGGCUCGCGGCCUAUCAGCUAGUUGGUGAGGUAACGGCUCACCAAGGCGUCGACGGGUAGCUGGUCUGAGAGGACGAUCAGCCACACUGGGACUGAGACACGGCCCAGACUCCUACGGGAGGCAGCAGUGGGGAAUCUUGCACAAUGGGUGAAAGCCUGAUGCAGCAACGCCGCGUGAGGGACGAAGGCUUUCUGAGUUGUAAACCUCUUUCAGCAGGGACGAUUGUGACGGUACCUGCAGAAGAAGCCCGGCAACUACGUGCCAGCAGCCG